GCGGCGAGUGGCGAACGGGUGAGUAAUACAUCGGAACGUGCCCAAUCGUGGGGGAUAACGCAGCGAAAGCUGUGCUAAUACCGCAUACGAUCUACGGAUGAAAGCAGGGGAUCGCAAGACCUUGCGCGAAUGGAGCGGCCGAUGGCAGAUUAGGUAGUUGGUGAGGUAAAGGCUCACCAAGCCUUCGAUCUGUAGCUGGUCUGAGAGGACGACCAGCCACACUGGGACUGAGACACGGCCCAGACUCCUACGGGAGGCAGCAGUGGGGAAUUUUGGACAAUGGGCGCAAGCCUGAUCCAGCCAUGCCGCGUGCAGGAUGAAGGCCUUCGGGUUGUAAACUGCUUUUGUACGGAACGAAACGGCUCUUUCUAAUAAAGAGGGCUAAUGACGGUACCGUAAGAAUAAGCACCGGCUAACUACGUGCCAGCAGCCGCGGUAAUACGUAGGGUGCAAGCGUUAAUCGGAAUUACUGGGCGUAAAGCGUGCGCAGGCGGUGAUGUAAGACAGUUGUGAAAUCCCCGGGCUCAACCUGGGAACUGCAUCUGUGACUGCAUCGCUGGAGUACGGCAGAGGGGGAUGGAAUUCCGCGUGUAGCAGUGAAAUGCGUAGAUAUGCGGAGGAACACCGAUGGCGAAGGCAAUCCCCUGGGCCUGUACUGACGCUCAUGCAC
rnacentral:rRNA from 1 species